rnacentral:lncRNA from 1 species
AGUUCCGCCCGGCCCUUCUCCACCUGCGUCCGGCUGCCUGCACCGUGGGCUCUCGGACCGCGGCUUCCCUACUUCGUGCCCACUCUGCCCGGAUUUCCGCUUUCCGGAGCUCCCGGCUGGCAGAACAAAUGAACAGCCCCUUCCCCACACGCUCGCUUUCCAGAAUACUCUCAAAGCGUUCAGACUUUCCUCUGCCAACAAAUCAGAGGAAGAGUCCUCGUCAUUCUCUUGAGACGUCAGAGAGACUCAGGCAGCACUUCCUAAAGGAAAGGGAUGGUGAAAUCCUAUAUACCGGAAGUGGAGAAUAA